rnacentral:rRNA from 1 species
UAGUUCGAUUAUGGCUCAGGAUGAACGCUGGCGGCAUGCCUAAUACAUGCAAGUCGAACGGAGUGAAGCCUUCGGGUUUCAUUCAGUGGCGAACGGGUGAGUAAUACGCAGGGAACCUGGCCAUGGCAGGGGGAUACACUCUGGAAACGGAGCAUAAGACCCCAUAGGCAGUAAGGCGGCAUCGCCUUACUGUUAAAGAAAGCUGAAAGGCUUUGGCGAUGGAUGGACCUGCGGUGCAUUAGCUUGUUGGUGAGGCAACGGCUUACCAAGGCGAUGAUGCAUAGCCGGCCUGAGAGGGCGGACGGCCACACUGGGACUGAGACACGGCCCAGACUCCUGCGGGAGGCAGCAGUAGGGAAUUUUCGUCAAUGGGCGCAAGCCUGAACGAGCAAUGCCGCGUGAGUGAGGAAGGUCUUCGGACUGUAAAGCUCUGUUGCCGGGGAAAAAGGGGAAAUGCAGGAAAUGGCAUUUCAUGGAUGGUACCCGGCCAGAAAGCCACGGCUAACUACGUGCCAGCAGCCGCGGUAAUACGUAGGUGGCGAGCGUUAUCCGGAAUGAUUGGGCGUAAAGGGUGCGCAGGCGGUCUGUUAAGUCUGAAGGCAAAGGGAUGAGCUCAACUCAUUUAUGAUUCAGAAACUGGCAGACUUGAGGACAGGAGAGGGCGGUGGAACUCCAUGUGUAGCGGUAAAAUGCGCAGAGAUAUGGAAGAACACCAGUGGCGAAGGCGGCCGCCUGGCCUGUGACUGACGCUGAGGCACGAAAGCGUGGGGAGCAAAUAGGAUUAGAUACCCUAGUAGUCCACGCCGUAAACGAUGAGGAGCAGGUGUUGGGAGUGAAAUCUCAGUGCCGAAGCCAACGCAGUGACUCCUCCGCCUGGGGAGUAUGCACGCAAGUGUGAAACUCAAAGGAAUUGACGGGGGCCCGCACAAGCGGUGGAGUAUGUGGUUUAAUUCGAAGCAACGCGAAGAACCUUACCAGGUUUUGACAUCGGAUGCGAAGGCGCAGAGAUGCGCUGGAGGCUAUCAUCCAGACAGGUGGUGCAUGGUUGUCGUCAGCUCGUGUCGUGAGAUGUUCAGUUAAGUCUGGCAACGAGCGCAACCCCCGUGGUAUGUUACUAACGCUUUAGGGCGAGGACUCAUAUCAGACUGCCGGUGACAAACCGGAGGAAGGCGGGGAUGACGUCAAAUCAUCAUGCCCCUUAUGACCUGGGCUACACACGUACUACAAUGGCGUCUACAGAGGGAAGCGACCCUGAGAAGGGAAGCGAAACCGGAAAAGGGCGUCCCAGUUCGGAUUGAAGUCUGCAACCCGACUUCAUGAAGAUGGAAUCGCUAGUAAUCGCGGAUCAGCAUGCCGCGGUGAAUACGUUCCCGGGCCUUGUACACACCGCCCGUCAAACCAUGGAAGCCGGCAACGCCCGAAGCCGGUGGCAUAACCUUUUAGGAGUGAGCCGUCGAAGGCGGGGCCGAUGACUGGGGUUAAGUCGUAACAAGGUACCC